rnacentral:rRNA from 1 species
GUGAGGAAUAUUGCGCAAUGGAGGCAACUCUGACGCAGCCAUGCCGCGUGCAGGAAGAAGGCGCUACGCGUUGUAAACUGCUUUUAACCGGGAAGAAACCCCAGGACGUGUCCUGGGUUGACGGUACCGGAGGAAUAAGCACCGGCUAACUUCGUGCCAGCAGCCGCGGUAAUACGAAGGGUGCAAGCGUUAUCCGGAUUCAUUGGGUUUAAAGGGUGCGUAGGCGGAGCGUUAAGUCAGUGGUGAAAUCCUGCAGCUUAACUGUAGACUUGCCAUUGAUACUGGCGCUCUUGAGUGCGCUUGAAGUGGGCGGAAUGUGCCGUGUAGCGGUGAAAUGCUUAGAUAUGGCACAGAACACCAAUUGCGAAGGCAGCUCACUAAGGCGAUACUGACGCUGAGGCACGAAAGCGUGGGGAUCGAACAGGAUUAGAAACCCAUGUAGUCC